rnacentral:rRNA from 1 species
GGACUACAGGGGUAUCUAAUCCUGUUUGAUCCCCACGCUUUCGCGCCUCAGCGUCAGUACUCGUCCAGAGGGCCGCCUUCGCCACCGGUGUUCCUCCUGAUAUCUACGCAUUUCACCGCUACACCAGGAAUUCCACCCUCCUCUCCGGUACUCGAGUCUGCCAGUUUCCGGCGCAGUUCCCCAGUUGAGCCAGGGGAUUUCACACCGAACUUAGCGGACCGCCUACGCGCCCUUUACGCCCAGUAAUUCCGAACAACGCUUGCACCCUCUGUCUUACCGCGGCUGCUGGCAC